rnacentral:rRNA from 1 species
GGGGAGGGGCGUCUGGGCAGGUGGCCACGACUCCCUCUCAUUCUUCUGUUUCACAGCAGGCGGCGCAGGUACCUGUGUCCAGCCGGGGCGACAUAUCUUUGGGGCAGGAGGCCCUGGAGGUCCGUCUCGCGGGAGCCUCGUUGGUGGUGGGGUCGCCGGAGGUGCUAGGCAGGCGUCAGGGGCAGGUGGCCCCUGACCCUCUAGUACCGACGGCGGUCCUGCAGGUGGAGCGCACGGCUGCCACGGCGUCGGCUGGGGGGGUCGGACUAGGGCAGGAGGCCCUGGUGCCAACUCCGUCAGGCAUCUCCACAUCUCCUACGCGGUCCCCCUCUCCCAGACCUACUCCGGGAGCCGCUACUCGGGAGGAGGUGAUCGCGUUCGGAGGGAUCCGAGACCCUGCUUCCGAGGGGAGGCGGACGAGCUCUCGUCUCCAGGACCUUCCGGAGGUUGAUGAUUUGCAGCAGAGGUGCGCUAUGCGGGCGGCCAAGCUGCGUGAUGUGGAGAGCACAACAGGUA